rnacentral:rRNA from 1 species
GGAUCCAGACUUUGAUUAUGGCUCAGGACGAACGCUGGCGGCGCGCCUAACACAUGCAAGUCGAACGGAGUCAAGAGGAGCUUGCUUUUCUUGACUUAGUGGCGAACGGGUGAGUAACGCGUGAGUAACCUGCCCUGGAGUGGGGGACAACAGUUGGAGACGACUGCUAAUACCGCAUAAGCCCACGGCCCGGCAUCGGGCUGAGGGAAAAGGAUUUAUUCGCUUCAGGAUGGACUCGCGUCCAAUUAGCUAGUUGGUGAGGUAACGGCCCACCAAGGCGACGAUUGGUAGCCGGACUGAGAGGUUGAACGGCCACAUUGGGACUGAGACACGGCCCAGACUCCUACGGGAGGCAGCAGUGGGGGAUAUUGCACAAUGGGGGAAACCCUGAUGCAGCGACGCCGCGUGGAGGAAGAAGGUUUUCGGAUUGUAAACUCCUGUCGUUAGGGACGAUAAUGACGGUACCUAACAAGAAAGCACCGGCUAACUACGUGCCAGCAGCCGCGGUAAAACGUAGGGUGCAAGCGUUGUCCGGAAUUACUGGGUGUAAAGGGAGCGCAGGCGGACCGGCAAGUUGGAAGUGAAAACUAUGGGCUCAACCCAUAAAUUGCUUUCAAAACUGCUGGCCUUGAGUAGUGCAGAGGUAGGUGGAAUUCCCGGUGUAGCGGUGGAAUGCGUAGAUAUCGGGAGGAACACCAGUGGCGAAGGCGACCUACUGGGCACCAACUGACGCUGAGGCUCGAAAGCAUGGGUAGCAAACAGGAUUAGAUACCCUGGUAGUCCAUGCCGUAAACGAUGAUUACUAG